UUUUAUGGAGAGUUUGAUCCUGGCUCAGGAUGAACGCUGGCGGCGUGCCUAAUACAUGCAAGUCGAGCGAACAGAUGAGGAGCUUGCUCCUCUGACGUUAGCGGCGGACGGGUGAGUAACACGUGGAUAACCUACCUAUAAGACUGGGAUAACUUCGGGAAACCGGAGCUAAUACCGGAUAAUAUAUUGAACCGCAUGGUUCAAUAGUGAAAGACGGUUUUGCUGUCACUUAUAGAUGGAUCCGCGCCGCAUUAGCU
rnacentral:rRNA from 1 species